rnacentral:rRNA from 1 species
AGGGCACACGGAGGAUGCCUUGGCAUUUGUCAGCGAAGAAGGACGCGGUAAGCUGCGAAAAGCUUCGGGGAGGCGCAAGCGACCAUUGAUCCGAAGGUAUCCGAAUGGGGCAACCCCUCCGGCGUAGGCCGGAGACCCGCAAGUGCGGGGGCGAAGUCGGCGAAGUGAAACAUCUCAGUAGCCGGAUAUAAAAGAAAUCGAAGAGAUUCUCUGAGUAGUGGUGAGCGAAAGGGGAACAGCCUAAACCGAAUACGUGCAAGCCCGCGAGCGUUGCGUAUGUCGGUGUAAGAGGUUCUUGCAGGGGUGAGUUGCGGAUUACCCGAACAGUUACAAAAGACUAAGCUAGUUGAACGGUAUUGGGAAAGCCGGCCGCAGAAGGUGAGAGCCCUGUAGGCGAAAGCGUAGUCACUGUUUGUGCAAGGUACCUGAGUAGGCCGGAGCACGUGAAAUUCCGGUUGAAUUUGGGCCGCCCAUGGUCUAAGGCUAAACAUGACAAAUGACCGAUAGUGAAGCAGUACCGAGAGGGAAAGGUGAAAAGCACCCCGGGAGGGGAGUGAAAGAGACCUGAACCCGUGUGCCUACAAGCGAUCGGAGCAGGAAGCGUUUUCGGACGCGGAAUGUGACGGUAUGCCUUUUGUAAAAUGAGCCGGCGAGUUAUUGUGUGUAGCGAGGUUAAGGUCUGGUAGGACUGAAGCCGAAGGGAAACCGAGUCUUAAUAGGGCGCUGAGUUUCACACAAUGGACCCGAAGCCCGACGAUCUAUCCAUGGCCAGGUUGAAGCCUCGGUGAAACGAGGUGGAGGACCGAACCGUAGCCUGUUGAAAAAGUCUCGGAUGAGCUGUGGAUAGGAGUGAAAAGCUAAUCGAGUUGGGUGAUAGCUGGUUCUCCCCGAAAUGCAUUUAGGUGCAGCCUCAGAUGUUUAGUUAUGGGGGUAGAGCGCUGAAUGGACGCGGGCGGUAUAGGCCGUACCAAAUCCAAUCAAACUUCGAAUACCAUAACUUAAGAGUUUGGGAGUGAGACUGCGGGAGAGAAGUUUCGUAGUCGAGAGGGAAAGAGCCCAGACCCACGGCUAAGGCCCCAAAGCUAUGCUAAGUGUAACAAGGAUGUGAUGAUGCCCGGACAGCCAGGAGGUUGGCUUAGAAGCAGCCACCCUUUAAAGAGUGCGUAAUAGCUCACUGGUCGAGGAUUGUUGCGCCGAAAAUACCGGGGGCUAAGCAUAGCGCCGAAGCCUGGGGAUUGGAUUGAUAAGAUCCGAAUCGGUAGGGGAGCGUUGCCUGCGGGGAGAAGUCGAACCGGCAAGGUUCGGUGGACUGCAGGGAAGAGAGAAUGCCGGCAUGAGUAACGCAAAGUGUGUGAGAAACACACUCACCGGAAGUCCAAGGAUUCCUGGGGAAGGUUAAUCCGCCCAGGGUAAGGCGGGACCUAAGGCGAGGCCGAGAGGCGUAGCUGAUGGACAACAGGUUGCUAUUCCUGUCCCGCGAGUGGUUCGUUUGUACGAAGGAGUGACGCAGGAAGCUAAGUGAGUCGGGUGAUGGAAGUCCCGGCCUAAGGGAGUAGUCUGGCCGAACAGGGAAAUCCGUUUGGUUAGAGACGAGACCUGAUGGGGAGGUAAGCAGAGAUGCGAGCCGAAGUCAUUGAUGCUACGCUGCCAGGAAAAGCUUCUAAGGAGAGCCAUUUGCGCCCGUACCCGAAACCGACACAGGUGGACUGGCUGAGAAGGCUAAGGUGAGCGGGAGAACUAUCGUUAAGGAACUCUGCAAGUUGACCCCGUAACUUAGGGAGAAGGGGUGCCUUUUUUGGUGAAGGGCUGCGCGCCCGGAGCUGGGAGAGGUCGCAGAAACCAGGCACAGGCGACUGUUUACUAAAAACACAGGACUCUGCGUAAGGCGAAAGCCGAAGUAUAGGGUCUGACACCUGCCCGGUGCUGGAAGGUUAAAUGGAGAGGUUAGUGGGUGGUAACACUUGCGAAGCUUUGGAAGCCCCAGUAAACGGCGGCCGUAACUAUAACGGUCCUAAGGUAGCGAAAUUCCUUGUCGGGUAAGUUCCGACCUGCACGAAUGGUGUAACGAUCUGUGCGCUGUCUCGACGGUAGACCCGGUGAAAUUGUGGUCCUGGUAAAGACGCCAGGUACCCGUGGUGGGACGGAAAGACCCCAUGGAGCUUUACUGUAACUUGGUAUUGGAUUUUGUCAUGUGAUGCACAGGAUAGGUGGGAGGCAUUGAGACACAGAUUUUGGUUUGUGUUGAGCCAACGUUGGGAUACCACCCUUCAUAUGAUGGAGUUCUAACCGCGAGCCGUUGAAACACGGAGCGGGACAUUGCCAGGCGGGCAGUUUGACUGGGGCGGUCGCCUCCCAAAGAGUAACGGAGGCGCGCAAAGGUCACCUCAGGGCGAAUGGAAACCGCCCGUAAGAGCGCAAGCGUAUAAGGUGGCUUGACUGUGAGACCGACGGGUCGAACAGGAACGAAAGUUGGUGCUAGUGAUCCGGUGGUUCCGAAUGGAAGGGCCAUCGCUCAACGGAUAAAAGCUACCCUGGGGAUAACAGGCUGAUCUCGCCCGAGAGUUCCUAUCGACGGCGUGGUUUGGCACCUCGAUGUCGGCUCAUCGCAUCCUGGGGCUGAAGCAGGUCCCAAGGGUUGGUCUGUUCGCCCAUUAAAGCGGUACGUGAGCUGGGUUUAGAACGUCGUAAGACAGUUCGGUCCCUAUCCACCAUGGGCGUAAGGUAUUUGAGGAGAGCUGUUCCUAGUACGAGAGGACCGGAAUGGACGAACCGCUGGUGUACCGGUUGUGGCGCCAGCCGCAAAAGCCGGGUAGCUAUGUUCGGACCGGAUAACCGCUGAAAGCAUCUAAGUGGGAAGCCGCCUCCAAGAUGAGAUACCUUAUUCCUUAAAGGAAGUAAGAUAUCCGGCAGACGACCGGAUAGAUAGGCCGGGUGUGUAAGCAUUGAGAGAUGUUGAGCAGACCGGUACUAAUAAGUCGAGGCUUUUUUCU